rnacentral:rRNA from 1 species
UACGUAGGGGGCAAACGUUGUCCGGAUUUACUGGGUGUAAAGGGUGCUCAGGCGGUCUUGUAAGUUAGAAGUGAAAUCCUAGGGCUCAACUCUGGAAUUGCUUUUAAUACUGCAAGGCUUGAACAUGGAAGAGGAGGGUGGAAUUUCUGGUGUAGCAGUGAAAUGCGUAGAUAUCAGAAAGAACACCAGUGGCGAAGGCGGCCCUCUGGUCCAUUAUUGACGCUAAAGCACGAAAGCGUGGGGAGCAAACAGG